rfam:Triticum aestivum genome assembly, contig: Triticum_aestivum_CS42_TGACv1_scaffold_102824_2AL
CUUGUACUCCCUCCGUCCGAAAAUACUUGUCAUUGAAAUGGAUGUAUCUAGAUGUAUUUUAGUUCUAGACACAUCCAUUUUGAUGACAAGUAAUUCCGGACGGAAGGAGUACUUG